CCUACGGGGGGCAGCAGUCGAGAAUUUUUCUCAAUGGGGGAAACCCUGAAGGAGCGACGCCGCGUGGAGGAUGAAGGUUUUCGGAUUGUAAACUCCUGUCAUCCGGGAGCUAGUACCGGAAGAGGAAGGGACGGCUAACUCUGUGCCAGCAGCCGCGGUAAUACAGAGGUCCCGAGCGUUGUUCGGAUUCAUUGGGCGUAAAGGGUGCGUAGGCGGCGAGCUAAGUUUGGUGUGAAAUCCUGGGGCUUAACCUCAGAAUUGCACUGAAUACUGGUUUGCUAGAGGGCUGGAGAGGAGAUUGGAAUUCACGGUGUAGCAGUGAAAUGCGUAGAUAUCGUGAGGAAGACCAGUGGCGAAAGCGAAUCUCUGGACAGCCCUGACGCUGAUGCACGAAGGCUAGGGGAGCAAACGGGAUUAGAUACCCCAGUAGUC
rnacentral:rRNA from 1 species